rnacentral:rRNA from 1 species
AACGAACGCUGGCGGCAGGCCUAACACAUGCAAGUCGAGCGAUCUUCUUCGGAAGAGAGCGGCGGACGGGUGAGUAGCGCGUGGGUAACCUGCCUCAUACACAUGGAUAACAUACCGAAAGGUAUGCUAAUACAAGAUGAUAUAAGAGAUUCGCAUGGAUUUCUUAUCAAAGCUUUUGCGGUAUGAGAUGGACCCGCGUCUGAUUAGCUAGUUGGUAAGGUAAUGGCUUACCAAGGCAACGAUCAGUAGCCGACCUGAGAGGGUGAUCGGCCACAUUGGAACUGAGACACGGUCCAAACUCCUACGGGAGGCAGCAGUGGGGAAUAUUGCACAAUGGGCGAAAGCCUGAUGCAGCAACGCCGCGUGAGCGAUGAAGGCCUUCGGGUCGUAAAGCUCUGUCCUCAAGGAAGAUAAUGACGGUACUUGAGGAGGAAGCACCGGCCAACUACGUGCCAGCAGCCGCCGUAAGAC